rnacentral:rRNA from 1 species
UACAGAGGGGGCAAGCGUUAUUCGGAAUUAUUGGGCGUAAAGGGCGCGUAGGCGACUUUGCAAGUGACGGGUGAAAGCCCUCGGCUUAACCGAGGAACUGCCUGUCAGACUGUAAGGCUUGAGACCGGGAGAGGUGAGUGGAAUUCCCAGUGUAGCGGUGAAAUGCGUAGAUAUUGGGAGGAACACCAGUGGCGAAGGCGGCUCACUGGACCGGAACUGACGCUGAGGCGCGAAAGCGUGGGGAGCAAACAGG